rnacentral:rRNA from 1 species
GUCUACGGCCAUACCACCCUGAACGCACCCAAUCUCGUCUGAUCUCGGAAGCUAAGCAGGGUCGGGCCUGGUUAGUACUUGGAUGGGAGAAGUAAAGGGAGGAAGUUUAGUUGAAAAUU